ACCUCUGUAUGUACAAUGGCUGCUAGAAAAGACAACUGUUUUGUUGUCGACUUACCAUCCAGAAACCACUUGCUGCGUUCUUGUUGUUGUGCAGGAGGCUCCACUUUUGCUUUUCGAAGAUUGGCGGUUGUGUUACUGAGUAUCUGU